UACGGAGGGUGCAAGCGUUGUUCGGAAUCAUUGGGCGUAAAGCGCGUGUAGGCGGCUUGGCAAGUCGGUUGUGAAAGCCCGGGGCCCAACCCCGGAACUGCAUCCGAAACUGCCUGGCUAGAGUCCCGGAGAGGAAGGCAGAAUUCCCGGUGUAGGGGUGAAAUCCGUAGAGAUCGGGAGGAACAUCCGUGGCGAAGGCGACUACCUGGACCAGCACUGACACUGAGGCACGAAAGCGUGGGGAGCAAACAGG
rnacentral:rRNA from 1 species